rnacentral:antisense_RNA from 1 species
AUUAGUCAAUGCAGAGACAAGGCAAGUGGAGUAUUUGCAACGUUGGCCUGGAGCCCAGCAUGCGCCCCCUCCCAUAGAUCCAGGACAGGGAUCUGGAUGGCUGUGGGUUCAGGUCAACAAAUGUCCAUGGAGUCACCCAUCAAUCCAAGGCUCCCAGCAGAAGGCAGACAGUGUGACUUGGCUGCAGGCUUUGCCAUUCGCUGCCUGUGAGACACAAGCAAGUAGGCGAAGGUAUCCAAGCCUCAGUUUUCAUGAAGCAUCAGAAUGAUGGUGCCACUGGCUACAUGGAGAAGGAAGGAGAGGAGAAUGCUAGCUGCACUCCCUGGCUACAUGCAAACAGAUGCAGCACGAAGCCUUGGGAACCUUGGCAAGGGAUUUAAACAAUCUCCCUCUAAUGCAUGUAACAUGGUGCUGCUGGACUUCCCAGAACAGGAUUUUAAGAUGGUUCCGAGAGUGGAACCUGGUAACUCCUGAGAGCACCUCUCUGCUUGGUCUGCUCUGGGGGUGGGCUGCUGGCCCAUCUGUGGCUAGCCUCAGGAUAGAGGGAAGGGAGCUGCAGCAGCUGCCAUGACGUGUUGGGAAGGGAACUGUCAUGUUCGCAGCAGCCCUGGUGGGUCUGAUGUUUUCUUAAUUAUCCUUCAAGCUCCAAAAGCACAUCCAUGUCUCUGGGGACACAUACAAGUCAUGUCACUUUAUGUUCCUUUGGAACUAUGUCUCUUUGGACUGUCUGGCUUAUAGUUGUUGUUCAGGGCCAAGUGAUGUGUCACCCUUCUCUGAAAUGUCUGCAUCCUGUGAAUUGUUUAGCCUACUUUCCCCUGACCCCAGGCUCAGGCCCCUCUUCUCUGCUCUCACCGUACCUUUCACCCCACAUCCAGUCCCCUCCCAAAAUCCUCCCAGUUUUACUUCUGUGCCCUUUUGACAGGGCACAGUCAUUUAUACUUUAACCUUUCCACCAGAAAGUCGACGUUGAAGAUGUCCAGGACAAACUUAAGUUUCAGUGUUUGUUGAACUCUCUGUGCCCUCUCCAGUAGACUGCAAUUCCUCAUGCCCUCAGACGCUACCCUACCUGCCUGUUCUGCAGGACUAACCCCACGUGGAGACAGUCAGCCCCCACCCCAGUGGGGACGUGCACUGGAGAGCUUCCAGAAGGCCUGCAGAUAGCUUCUCUCCUGUCCUACCAUAGUGCCUGAAAUUCCCACCAGAAAUGCCACUCUUGUGGAUUACAGCAUCCAGCUCCAGAAAGCCUUUGUUACCUCAAUUUUGCUUAUGAGGAAAUGAAGGCUGAGGAUUCCAGUGACUUUUCCAAGUUCAAGAUCAACCACUGGCAAGAUCAGAGCUGAACCCGGCCAAAUGAACCCAAAUCCCAUGCUCUUUCCACACCACCACACUGGGGCAGGAAGGAUAUCCCAUGCUCUUUCCACACCACCACACUGGGGCAGGAAGGACGAUUUGAUUUUUCACAGCUCUAGAGCAGGAUGACUUGCCCAGAUUUCACCCCUUGAGAAUUAGGAGGAGGGAAAGGGAAUUUCAGAGGGUUUCUUCUUCUUCUUCUUCUUUUUUUUUUUUUGAGAUGGAAUCUUGCUCUGUCGCCCAGGCUGGAGUGCAGUGGCAUGAUCUCGGCUCACUGCAACCUCCACCUCCCAGGUUCAAGCAAUUCUCCUGCCUCAGCCUCCCAAGUAACUGGGAUUACAGGCGUCCAUCACUAUGCUUGGCUAAUUUUUGUAUUCUUAGUAGAGAUGGGGCCACCAUAUUGGCCAGGCUGGUCUCAAACUUUUUACCUCGUGAUCUGCCCGCCUCGGCCUCCCAAAGUGUUGGGAUUACAGGCAUGAGCCACCAUGCCUGGCCCAGUUUUCUUCUUUAUACUUAUUUUUUCAAGACAUUGCAGCAUUGCCUUAACCUCUCUCUCUUUUUUUUUUUUUUUUUUUUUGAGAUGGAGUCUCGCUUUGUUGCCCAGGCUGGAGUACAAUGGCAUGAUCUCAGCUCACUGCGACCUAUACCUCCCUG